GACGAAGGGGGCUAGCGUUGUCCGGAAUUACUGGGCGUAAAGAGCUCGUAGGUGGUUUGUCGCGUUGUUCGUGAAAACUCACAGCUCAACUGUGGGCGUGCGGGCGAUACGGGCAGACUGGAGUACUGCAGGGGAGACUGGAAUUCCUGGUGUAGCGGUGAAAUGCGCAGAUAUCAGGAGGAACGCCGGUGGCGAAGGCGGGUCUCUGGGCCGAUACUGACACUGAGGAGCGAAAGCGUGGGGAGCGAACAGG
rnacentral:rRNA from 1 species